UCAAGAGAGCGCAGUCACCAGCCGGGAGCCUGUCGGUUCCAGACACCCUCCGGACUGACAAGAUGUGCUCCCUGGGGUUGUUUCCCCCGCCGCCGCCUAGAGGUCAAGUCACCCUGUAUGAGCACAAUAACGAGCUGGUGACCGGCAACAGCUAUGAGAGCGGUAUAGUGGAUCAAUCUUCCUGUCCUACACCUGACCAAGGAUCCCCUAAAAGCUCCUGGGAGGCUGGACCAUGGUACAAGAGCUGCCUUCAUCCAUCAUCGGGAGCAAGUGUGGAAGAGGUGCAUCAAUGUUUGGCACGAUGUGGGUCUUUUUGGAGUCCUGAAUGAAAUUGCAAAUUCAGAGGAAGAAGCUCAGGAGUGAGGAUCUGAUUGCUGAAUUUGCCCAAGUCACUAACUGGUCCAGCUGCUGCUUACGGGUCUUUGCCUGGCAUCCUCACACCAACAAGUUUGCAGUGGCCCUGCUGGAUGACUCCAUCCGUGUUUAUAAUGCCAACAGCACUAUAGUUCCCUCCCUGAAGCACCGUCUACAGCGAAAUGUGGCAGCACUGGCCUGGAAGCCCCUCAGUGCCUCUGUCUUGGCUGUGGCCUGCCAGAGCUGUAUUCUCAUCUGGACCCUGGACCCCACUUCCUUAUCUACGAGACCCUCCUCUGGCUGCGCCCAGGUCUUGU
rnacentral:lncRNA from 1 species